rnacentral:rRNA from 1 species
CCGACUGCUAUUCGGGUAAGACUAAGCCAUGCAAGUCGAAUGGAACAGCUUGUUCCAUGGCGAACUGCUCAGUAACAAGUGAUCAACUUACCCUUCAGUGGAGAAUAACCUCGGGAAACUGAGGCUAAUACUUCAUAGUUGGAAAUUCCUGGAAAGGUUUUCCAUCGAAAGAUAUUUCUAAAUGCGGAAAAUUCGCUGAAGGAUAGGAUCGCUUUCGAUUACGGUUGUUGGUGAGGUAAUGGCUCACCAAGCCUAUGAUCGAUAAGGGCCGUGAGAGCGGUAGCCCUGAGAUGGAUACUGAGACAAUGAUCCAGGCCUUACGAGGCGCAGCAGGCGCGAAACCUUUACAAUGCACGAAAGUGUGAUAAGGUUACCCGGAGUGCUAAAAUUAAAUUUUAGCUGUUAUAGGUGUGUAAAUAACCCUAUGAGAAAGGAGAGGGCAAGGCUGGUGCCAGCCGCCGCGGUAAAACCAGCUCUUCAAGUGGUCGGGAAUAUUAUUGGGCUUAAAGUGUCCGUAGCCGGUUUGGUAAGUUCCUGGUUAAAUCUGGCAGCUUAACUGUCAGUCAGCUAGGAAUACUACUUUACUAGAGGGUGGGAAAGGUUUGAGGUACUCCAGGGGUAGCGGUGAAAUGCGAUAAUCCUUGGGGGACCACCAGUGGCGAAGGCGUCAGACUGGAACACGCCUGACGGUGAGGGACGAAAGCCAGGGGAGCGAACGGGAUUAGAUACCCCGGUAGUCCUGGCCGUAAACGAUGCGUGCUAGGUGUUGGUAGGGCUUUGAGCUGUAUCA